rnacentral:rRNA from 1 species
CGACGCUGGCGGCAUGCCUAACACAUGCAAGUCGAACGAGACCUUCGGGUCUAGUGGCGCACGGGUGCGUAACGCGUGGGAACCUGCCUUUAGGUUCGGAAUAACUCAGAGAAAUUUGAGCUAAUACCGGAUAAUGUCUUCGGACCAAAGAUUUUAUCGCCUUUAGAUGGGCCCGCGUUGGAUUAGCUAGUUGGUGGGUAAAGGCCUACCAAGGCGACGAUCCAUAGCUGGUCUGAGAGGAUGAUCAGCCACACUGGGACUGAGACACGGCCCAGACUCCUACGGGAGGCAGCAGUGGGGAAUAUUGGACAAUGGGCGAAAGCCUGAUCCAGCAAUGCCGCGUGAGUGAUGAAGGCCUUAGGGUUGUAAAGCUCUUUUACCCGAGAUGAUAAUGACAGUAUCGGGAGAAUAAGCUCCGGCUAACUCCGUG